UACGUAGGGGGCAAGCGUUGUCCGGAAUCAUUGGGCGUAAAGCGCGUGUAGGCGGCUCGAUAAGUCCGCUCUGAAAGCCCGGGGCUCAACCCCGGGAGGCGGGCGGAAACUGUCGGGCUAGAGUCCGGAAGAGGCGAGUGGAAUUCCUGGUGUAGCGGUGAAAUGCGCAGAUAUCAGGAGGAACACCAAUUGCGAAGGCAGCUCGCUGGAACGUAACUGACGCUGAGACGCGAAAGCGUGGGGAGCAAACAGG
rnacentral:rRNA from 1 species